ensembl:lncRNA
AGACAAUGACAUUGUGGUUAUUUCUGAUGACGAGUGUCCUGAAACGUCCACACAAGACCAACUGAAUCCAAGAUCACGGGAACAUAACCAAGCUAUCCAAAGACCAGUAGCUGUUAUAACACCGCAGUCUAGAGCAAUCUUGCAAACUACACAAGUUGAGGACACCCUGACACCUGAUUAUGAUUCAUGCGCAUCAGGUGAUAUAAUGUAUAUUUGCCUUUUAUUUCGUUCUAUUUUCACCAUCCGUUCAGUGCAAAAAUCUCUCUCACAUUUACUUUGGUUUCUGUUCUUUUUUAGAUGUGUGUGAUGCUGACGAAGGACAAGCGGAGGAGGAAGGCUUUGAACAUGUUGAUAACACAUUUCAAAAUGGUCCAGACAAUGACAUUGUGGUUAUUUCUGAUGAUGAGUGUCCUGAAACGUCCACACAAGACCAACUGAAUCCAAGACCACGGGAACAUAACCAAGCUAUCCAAAGACCAGUAGCUGUUAUAACACCGCAGUCUAGAGCAAGCUUGCAAACUACACUUGAGGUCACCCUGACAGUCAGUGAUGAUGAUUCAUGCGCAUCAGAUUUGAGUGAUGCUGACAAAGGACAAGCGGAGGAGGAAGGCUUUGAACAUGUUGAUAAUACAUUUCAAAAUGGUCCAGGAAUGAAGUCAAUGAACAAGAAACCAAAAGCCCAUCCAGUGAAAGGAGUGGUGGGACCGCAGAAGAGAAAAAAUCCUAAUCCAGCAGAAGGUCAGAAUCUAGCAAAAAAGAAGAGAAAGUCUCCAGCAUGUGUGGAUACAUCAUAUUUUCAUAAUUAUUUGUGUGCAGAUAACAUGCCUGUUCUAGCUCUAAUUCAACCCAAUGUGCAUUUUGUUAUGGUUCCUGCGGGUAACAUCACGGUUCAAACAUCUGGCAGGAGCGAUUCUUGCCAGCCUUCAGGUGGCCCAAUGAAUCGAUUUAAUAAUGAAGACACGAUCAACCAGAGAGCGACUAACAAUGCUGCAGUGUUUGCACAGAGAGAUAAGAUAGACAACUCUCAAACUGGAAACAAGAAUAUUCAAGAUGAAAACCUGUUGUUUCUAAGGAAAAACCGUGUUGAGUUAAUCGACAGGGUAAAAAAUGUCCCUGAAAUCCUCGAUCGCCUCAAAUUAUCCAACGAAAAAGCAGCGAUAGUGCGAGCAGAGAGGACAGAUCAGGAGAGGAUGAGGAAGCUUCUGGAGUUCACGACCAGCACACAUGGUGCAAAGUUUCUAGUCACAGCCUUGUGGAGCUGCGCAAGCGAUGUCAUGGAAGACCUGACCAACACCAACUACAAUGACCUUGUGGUUAUUUCUGAUGACGAGUGUCCUGAAACGUCCACACAAGGCCAACUGAAUCUAAGAUCACGGGAACAUAAACAAGCUAUCCAAAGACCAGUAGCUGUUAUAACACCGCAGUCUAGACCAAUCUUGCAAACUACACAAGUUGAGGACACCCUGACAGUCAGUGAUGAUGAUUCAUGCGCAUCAGAUGUGAGUGAUGCUGACGAAGGACAAGCGGAGGAGGACGUUCCGGAAAAUAACAGAUUAGAAGAGAUCAGCAUCGCAGUGAGAGAAUUCUUAGACAGAAAAGCUGCUUUAUUGGAGAGCUUUGAACAUUUUGAUAAUAUAUCUCAGAAUGCUCCAGGUUGGGUUUGUGUACAAUCAAUGCACAGUACCCUCGAAUCCAUGAAUAGUUGUGCCACAGCGAACAUAAAUUUGCUAAAAAAAAUCAAUGAAAGGUAUGGCACAGAAAUGCCCGAUUUACAUUUCAGUUACAUAUUCCAAAAAAAGGAAAAGUGAAAAUACUCUGACAUCACCUCAUGAUUAAAUAGUCUUUACGUUGGGACACCCAUAUUUAUCUGAUGCAAUCAACCAGCUGAAUGAAAUUUUAGCUCCGUCACACCAGUUCGUUAGUCCGAGCCCUAGUCAGAGUUCCAAUCACAAUGUAACAAAUACACCAGUGAGCCAAUACGAUAUAUUCUAUGAACUCUGCGAAAGUCUGUUAAGAUUACAGAAUAGCCUAAACGAACAUUCUGUACAAUUAAACCCUGAUUUAAUCGAAGCAGUCAACCAGUUGAAUGAAAAUUUGACUAUCUCCUGAACACAACUUCAAUAUCUUCUCAACUCCUGAACUCUCACAGGAACAUAGACCCUUUUAUGUUCAUCUGUUAUACGAACUUAAUGAAAGUCUUAUGAGGUUAAAUGACAGUCUGGUUAACUUAAUCAAACCCCCUGCCAAUAUUCCACAAAAUUUGGGAAAUGAUAAUGAGUACGUCCCUCCAAUGGAAAACAUAUCAUCACCUAAUAUCCACGAUUUGCAAAUGGAAGACAUGCCAUCACCUAAUAUCCAAGAUGGUAAUGGGAUAGAUCCUAAUAUUAGAAUAAUUAAUAAUGACAGAUUCAACACCAAGAUUAGGAGAAGAGUGAAUUUUUCUUAAUGUCACUAAUCACUAAUUUCAACAGCUUUGUGGAAUUUUAUAAUUAUGAUUUAAACAGUGUGAUUGAAAUCGCUAAUUAUUUAAUUUCAUCUGAAGAUUUUGUCACAGGUGAAAUUAGAGGUGAUACACUCAAUGUUUCAUGGCGCAUUCAGUUAGUCAAUGUUGCCAUCGUUUUACAUUCUUUUAUAACCAUGUCCAAAAAUGCCAUUCAGAGUAAACGUGAAAUAAUAAUUAUUAUUAAAACACUGAAAUAGUCAUCUAAAUUGUCUGACCAACCUUGGGGUGGUGCAUCUAGAAGGACAACAGACAAGAGACUGAUUAAACCGCUGAAUGCUAAUGUAUUCAUUGGCAUUUUCACUAUAGCAUAUGCUAGACUUGAAUUGUACGAUCUGAUGGAUCGAUUACAACAGUGUUGUUUGGACACAGACACCGACGGCAUCAUUUUUAAAAGUAGGGAAGGUAAUUGAAUGCCACCUUUAAGCAAUUACUUUGGUGGUCUUAACAGCGACCUAGAUGAUGGCGAUCAAAUCGUAGAAUUCGUAAGUGCAGGUCCAAAAAAGUUAGGGUUACAAAACUGUCAAAGGAAAAGCAGCUAUGAAAGCUAAAGGCAUUACUUUAAAUUAUACCAAUUCCGAAGUUGUCAAUUUAAAAUCGCUGACAGAGCUGGUGGACAUGCGAGUGAACAAUUCAGAUCAAACUAGUCAACUUAUCACCUCACAUAACCAAAUUGUGCGAGAUAAAAAGUUAUUUAAUUUGAGAAAUAAAUCACAGUUAAAAAAGGUUUAUAAGCCUGCUUUAUUACCUGAUUUCACAACUCUCCCUUAUGAUUAUUAAGACUUUUCAUGUAUAUAUGUAAUGUUGUUUCUGUUUGUGUUUUGUAAUGGAAAAUAUGAACCUUUUUAUGUAUUGUAUGUGGUACAAGUAAAUCGUAUUUUGUUAUUAUAAUAAUUUUAUUAUUAUAUAUGUGUGUUUGCAACCUCUGUAUGAUGAAUCGAUGACCAGAAUAAAUAUAAUUUUUUUUUCAAGGAA